rnacentral:snRNA from 1 species
GUGCUCACUUGGGCAGAACCUACACUAAAAUUGGAGUGAUACACAGAAGAUUAGCAUGGCCCUUGUGCAAGGACGACACCCAAAUUCAUUAAACAUUCCAUACUUUU